GACACGCAAAUCUACGACCGUCCCACUGAGGCCAUUGAUGUGCAUGCUCAGGCAUUAUGCGGACACGUGUAUUUGCCAUGGUCUCAUCCCGCUCGUUCAUAAAUGGAACCAUUUCCUUCAGUGACAAAAAUUAAGCCAAUAAGAAUGGGGCCAUGUAGCUACCGUCGAAACAGAUAUGGAUUCCUCACCAGAUCGCCUAACGCAUCGUAAAUUGAGUGAACAUUUUCCACACGAAUAGUAACAAUGAAGACCAGAAAUCUUGGACUAUGUAGUACUACCUGGAUCAUCAUCCAUCAUGUUAAGAGAAACGGGAUUUCAGCUGAGCAGUAUUCAAAUACAGGCAAAUGCAAAAAAACUUAUUUUGUAUGUUAAAAGGGAUUUUGUGCUGGCCAGCACCAGCCCAUCCAGUGACAACACCACAGCAGCAGCAUGCAUCCAUCUGCCACCCUUCACAACCCAGAGGCCUGGUUCUAAGGAUUGGAAGCCAUCUCCAGGUACAAGAAAAUCUCUUCCACCCACAAAGCUGACACCAUUCUUGAGUUCCUGCCAGACAACAUCUUUGAAUAGAUCGUGUAAUGGCUUGCUGACCAAAAGGCCACCGUCUCCUAGGAAGUGCUGAUGGAUCAACUAAGGCAGCAAUAGUAGACCCGCAUCAUUCAUUAGCUAGUUACCGCCCAGAGACUAUGUUAGACCUAGUGAGAGGGGUCCUACCCACAAAAUUAUCCUGCUAAACAGUCAUGGCCAUCCCCAACACAUCAACCAUGGACAUCGAAGUCCUGAAAAUGGCAGAUUCUGUCCACAAGUCUACUGCGCCUACACAACAACCAUAGCAACAACAGACCGACGCAGGUACGGAAAGUGAUCCAGAGGACCCGCUGCCCCCAUACACUGCCACAGGAGCUUCAGGUGGAAAAACAAAAUGAAGUACAAGCCCUAAACAGAAGUAUGUCCCCAAGUGCUUUUAUUUCUUUCACUGGAGGUUCAAGAAUGAUGCCUGAAAAUGCAAAAAUGACUGCUGCAUGUCAAAACACAUGUUAAAGGGUUGCAGCAGCGACCCAACAACCAAAACUUAUCUGGUGGGCAGACCAGUUGCCUUGUAGGAGAAACUGUGCCUGCUUAAAAGUUGCCAAUUUUAUGGCGGUAGACAAGCGCCAUAAAACCAGAUUGUCAUUAAGCAAGUCUGCCGAUAACUGGGGACUGCCUGUAUGGAGUUUCUGGCUGACACCAGCACAUGAAAGUUAUUCGUGCCAGCAAACCUCAGUGGUGCAUCUUGUGGGGAAUGAAGGCAGCCUUCAAAAAGUGGUCAAGAGAAUGCCUCCCGUGCCAAACAUCAAAAGUAACGACACACAGAAAUGGGGAUAGGAGAGUUCCAGACAACACAGUGAUGAUUGACCCACAUCUACAUUGACAUCAUGGAACCCCUUCCCCCCCACCCUCUGUUGGGUACACGUAUCUCUUCACUAUCAUCAACUGGAAUACUAGAUGGCCAGAAGUUGUGAGAGAGCACUAAAGGGUUGGGUCAGCAGGCAUGGAGUAUACAACAAUGCACAAAGAGCGACAGAGGAGCCAACUUCACCUUCGCCUUAUGGAGCUCCGACAGAGCCCAUGACUCUUCCAGAUGUCCGUAAAGCACUGGAAAACACCGUGCCGGCGAAGAUAGCAAAUGACAGAAGGAAAGAAAAUGUCCCUGAAGAACUCAAAAGACAAAGUAUCUGUUCAUAAGAAUAGAUUCAUAUAAGACAACCCCACUUCUCCAGCCUACUUACAGAUCCAGCACUCCUGAUUCAUGCAUUUUUCAGAAGCUACUUUGUAACUUUGUUAGAACAGUAAUUAAUAGCACAUGUAAGUCAUGACAUUGCAAGCUUUCCAACCAUAUGUAUUGAAACUCUAAUUUGUAUUUAAAUUGUUAACCAUUUUUCAGUGCGAGGAAACACAGCUUGAUGUAUUGAUGUAAAUAUAUAUGUCUGUCUGUAUCUCUCCCUGAUGUCAAAAGCUAGUGGAAUGCUUGCACAAGUUCUUGACCUGCGAGGGAUUGAGAGUCAUUAAAUCAGAAUACAUCUUGA